GAAUUCGAUUAGAGUUUGAUCCUGGCUCAGGAUGAUCGCUGGCGGCGUGCCUAAUACAUGCAAGUCGAGCGAACAGAUAAGGAGCUUGCUCCUUUGACGUUAGCGGCGGACGGGUGAGUAACACGUGGGUAACCUACCUAUAAGACUGGAAUAACUCCGGGAAACCGGGGCUAAUGCCGGAUAAUAUUUAGAACCGCAUGGUUCUAAAGUGAAAGAUGGUUUUGCUAUCACUUGUAGAUGGACCCGCGCCGUAUUAGCUAGUUGGUGGGGUAAUGGCUUACCAAGGCAACGAUACGUAGCCGACCUGAGAGGGUGAUCGGCCACACUGGAACUGAGACACGGUCCAGACUCCUACGGGAGGCAGCAGUAGGGAAUCUUCCGCAAUGGGCGAAAGCCUGACGGAGCAACGCCGCGUGAGUGAUGAAGGUCUUCGGAUCGUAAAACUCUGUUAUUAGGGAAGAACAAAUGUGUAAGUAACUGUGCACGUCUUGACGGUACCUAAUCAGAAAGCCACGGCUAACUACGUGCCAGCAGCCGCGGUAAUACGUGGGUGGCAGGCGUUAUCCGGAAUUAUUGGGCGUAAAGCGCGCGUAGGCGGUUUCUUAAGUCUGAUGUGAAAGCCCACGGCUCAACCGUGAAGGGUCAUUGGAAACUGGGAAACUUGAGUGCAGAAAAGGAAAGUGGAAUUCCAUGUGUAGCGGUGAAAUGCGCAGAGAUAUGGAGGAACACCAGUGGCGAAAGCGACCUUCUGGUCUGUUACUGACGCUGAUUUGUGAAAGCGUGGGGGUCAAACAGGAUUAAAUACCCU
rnacentral:rRNA from 1 species